rnacentral:rRNA from 1 species
CCUACGGGAGGCAGCAGUGGGGAAUAUUGGGCAAUGGAGGCAACUCUGACCCAGCAACGCCGCGUGAAUGAUGAAGGUCUUCGGAUUGGAAAGUUCUUUUCUAAGAGAAGAAGAAAGUGACGGUACCUUAGGAUUAAGCCUAGGCUAACUACGAGCCAGCAGCCACGGUAAUACGGAGGAGGCAAGCGUUAUCCGGAUUGACUGGGCGUAAAGGGUGCGUAGGUGGUUUGGCAAGUUGGUUGCGAAAUUCAGGGGCUCAACUUCGGAAGUGCUACUAACACUGUUGGACUCGAGUUCAGGUGGGGCAACUGGAAUUUGUGGUGUAGCGGUGAAAUGCUUAGAUAUUAGGAAGAACACCGAUUGCGAAGGCGGGUUACUAGACUGUAACUGACAUUGAGGCACGAAAGCGUGGGGAGCAAACAGGAUUAGAUACCCUUGUAGUC